CAGAAGGGGUGAAGCCAGGAUCCACCCCUUCCCAGAUCUCAUUUAAGGGUUGGCAGUGGAGGUAAGGGUAUCUCUUGCUGGAGGUCCCUGCCUACCAGAGGCCUUUAAAAGAUGCGCAGUGAUGCCUUGUGUGAGAAAUUUUUUGAUAUCAUGAGUUACUGGAGGCUAUGGAGAAAAACAUUCUUCCUAUGCCAAGUGUUCUUUUAUUAAGAGAGAGAAAAAAUGAUAGUAUUUUAUGGGCAAUAUUUUACUGCACAUUGCUUAUAGCUGUUUCCAUGAAUACAUUAAAUGCUGAAGUGACAAUAAUGUGCACAAAAAAUGCUUUUGGACUUCUUAAGGAGAUGAGCAUAGCUGUGGAAAUCUGAGUUCUGCCAGAGAAGAGAAGAAUGAAUGGAUCCAACUAAAACUGCAAGGGGAAGUCGAUUAAAUGGACUGUAAAUUUGCAUGGUAGAAUUAGGCAAAGAUGCUAAUGGUAAUACUGCUUGUGUUGCAUCAAGUUACAGAACACUUUUUUUCUUUUCUGUUACUUUAGGAUCCAGUUGCAUAUUUUGCUCAAAGGUAUGUGCAUCCCACACACCUCUACUUCAUGGCACAAUGCUUUUUAACAACUUACAGCAGGAUUGUUACAGUACUGGCUCAGAACUAUGACUGUAAUUUAGUAAGUAACCAGCAGUACAUGUGGGCCAAGAGAGCUUGCAUAUGCUGGAGGUCAGAAAGCACAAAACAGUGACACUAACCAAAAUGUGUUGGAGUGAGUGUAAUAAAGACUAAAAAGAUGCAUGUCUGGUCAUGUACGUUAAGAAACCAUAGGGGAAACAUGAGAAUGCUAUCAUGGGACACAGUGUAGAUCAAGGAGACUUGAGAUAUAGUCCAGCUUCUAAGGAAGUACUUUGUCUAUUUUAUAUGAAGUCAGAGUAGGAUAAGAUCAGAGAGGCAGACCUGUGCAAUCUCUAUUCCAGUGUACUAGGAGAACAGGUGAAUAUAAAUUGCAGUGCAAUACAG
ensembl:lncRNA